rnacentral:rRNA from 1 species
ACCACCAAAGCAUUCUCUGGUGUUGAAGGCCCUGCAAAGCAGCAUCGCGGUGGCGGAGCGUCGUUUGCGACGCCCAACACACAAAACAAGCGGUGAGUGCUUUGGGGUGGGGUGACUGCGUACCUUUUGUAUAAUGGGUCAGCGACUUAUAUUCUGUAGCAAGGUUAACCGAAUAGGGGAGCCGGAGGGAAACCGAGUCUUAAUUGGGCGUUAAGUUGCAGGGUAUAGACCCGAAACCCGGUGAUCUAGCCAUGGGCAGGUUGAAGGUUGGGUAACACUAACUGGAGGACCGAACCGACUAAUGUUGAAAAAUUAGCGGAUGACCUGUGGCUGGGGGUGAAAGGCCAAUCAAACCGGGAGAUAGCUGGUUCUCCCCGAAAGCUAUUUAGGUAGCGCCUCGUGAAUUCAUCUCCGGGGGUAGAGCACUGUUUCGGCUAGGGGGCCAUCCCGGCUUACCAACCCGAUGCAAACUGCGAAUACCGGAGAAUGUUAUCACGGGAGACACACGGCGGGUGCUAACGUCCGUCGUGAAGAGGGAAACAACCCAGACCGCCAGCUAAGGUCCCAAAGUCAUGGUUAAGUGGGAAACGAUGUGGGAAGGCCCAGACAGCCAGGAUGUUGGCUUAGAAGCAGCCAUCAUUUAAAGAAAGCGUAAUAGCUCACUGGUCGAGUCGGCCUGCGCGGAAGAUGUAACGGGGCUAAACCAU